GACGAACGCUGGCGGCGUGCUUAACACAUGCAAGUCGAACGGCAAGGCCCUGCUUUUUUGGUGUUCCCGAGUGGCGAACGGGUGAGUAACACGUGAGUAACCUGCCCUUCACUUUGGUAUAACUUCAGGUAACUGGGCCUACUACCGGAUAGGAUCCCCCGCUCCAUGGUGGGCGUUGGAAAUUCUCGGCUGUUGGGGAUGGAUUCGCGGCUUAUCAGCUUGUUGGUUGGGUAGUGGCUUACCCAGGCUUUGACGGGUAGCCGGCAUGGGAGGGUGACCGGGGACAUGAGGACUACGAUAGGGAGCAGAGGGCAACGGGGGACAGUAGGGGGGAAUAUUGCACAAUGGGAGGAAGCCGGAGGAAGAAACGUCGCGGGCGGGAUGACCGCCUUCGGGGAGAGAAAAGCAUUAGCCUGUGACGAAGCGUGAGUGACGGUAAUGAGUAAAGAAGCACCGGCUAACUACGUG
rnacentral:rRNA from 1 species